rnacentral:rRNA from 1 species
CCCUUAGAUGUUCUGGGCCGCACGCGCGCUACACUGAUGCGUUCAACAAGUUUCCUUGGCCGAGAGGCCUGGGCAAUCUUCUUAAUAUGUAUCGUGAUAGGGAUAGAUUAUUGCAAUUAUUAAUCUUGAACGAGGAAUUCCUAGUAAACGCAGAUCAUCAAUCUGCAUUGAUUACGUCCCUGCCCUUUGUACACACCGCCCGUCGCACCUACCGAUUGGAUGUUCCGGUGAAGCCUCGGGAUGAGGACUGGUGCCUUUAUUGGCAUGAGUUGUUCUGAACUUGUCUAAACCUUAUCAUCUAGAGGAAGGUGAAGUCGUAACA